UAGUCCAUGCUGUAAACGAUGUCUACUAGCUGUUGGAUUUGUAUAGAUUUAGUGGCGCAGUUAACGCACUAAGUAGACCGCCUGGGGAGUACGGCCGCAAGGUUAAAACUCAAAUGAAUUGACGGGGGCCCGCACAAGCGGUGGAGCAUGUGGUUUAAUUCGACGCAACGCGAAGAACCUUACCAGGCCUUGACAUCCUGAGAAGAAGCCAGAAAUGGUUUUGUGCCUUCGGGAACUUGGUGACAGGUGCUGCAUGGCUGUCGUCAGCUCGUGUCGUGAGAUGUUGGGUUAAGUCCCGUAACGAGCGCAACCCUUGUCCUUAGUUGCCAUUGAUUCGGUCGGGGACUUUAAGGAGGCUACCGGUGACAAACCGGAGGAAGGUGGGGACGACGUCAAGGUCAUCAUGGCCCUUACGGGCCUGGGGCUACACACGUGCUACAAUGGGGCCGUACAAAGGGGUUGCCAAGCCGCGAGGUGGAGCUAAUCUCAGAAAACCGAUCGUAGUCCGGAUUGGAGUCUGCAACUCGAC
rnacentral:rRNA from 1 species